AGUGAACGCUGGCGGUAUGCCUAACACAUGCAAGUCGAACGGCAGCACAGUAAGAGCUUGCUCUUACGGGUGGCGAGUGGCGGACGGGUGAGGAAUACAUCGGAAUCUACCUUUUCGUGGGGGAUAACGUAGGGAAACUUACGCUAAUACCGCAUACGACCUACGGGUGAAAGCAGGGGAUCUUCGGACCUUGCGCGAUUGAAUGAGCCGAUGUCGGAUUAGCUAGUUGGCGGGGUAAAGGCCCACCAAGGCGACGAUCCGUAGCUGGUCUGAGAGGAUGAUCGGCCACACUGGAACUGGGACACGGUCCAGACUCCUACGGGAGGCAGCAGUGGGGAAUAUUGGACAAUGGGCGCAAGCCUGAUCCAGCCAUACCGCGUGGGUGAAGAAGGCCUUCGGGUUGUAAAGCCCUUUUGUUGGGAAAGAAAAGCAGCAGGUUAAUACCCCGCUGUUCUGACGGUACCCAAAGAAUAAGCACCGGCUAACUUCGUG
rnacentral:rRNA from 1 species